AAAAAAAACGUGAGGGUACUGCCACUUUCAAGUGAAGGAGCACAAAGGGAAUUCAAGCAUAGAUAAAUAAUAAAGAUAGGAGGAGAAGAGAAAGAUUUAUCGAAGGAAGUGGUACUGAUUUGCGUGGUGACGAGCCUGGUAUUUCGACACGAGUACUAGACCGUAGGUGACGUUGGUGAGGAUUACGGUAACUAGAGAGCACGAGUUGAAAGUUCCUGGUGAGCCCCACACUUGUCCGCGUGGGCCAAGAGUCUAUUAUUUAUGAUGGUCUUUUCUUUUGAAUUCUUAGAGUUGCUCCACAGUCAUUUGAUCUAUUCCAUGAGUAUUUUUUAUUUAUUUAUUAUAGACUAGUGACUAGUAUUAGACGUUUUUCCCGUAUUUCAGAGAUGUUUUAGUAUUAUUGUGUUGAAAACGGGUUGAUUGAGGAUGAUUGCAUUUAGUUUGGUUGA